UUAAAGUUCAAUUAAUGACAAUAAACCAAAUUAAAACCAAGUGGAAAUUAAAAAGGGAUUAGGGUUAUGUACUGAAUUGAAGCCAUUCACGUUAUGAAGCUUCUUUUCCCGAGCAAAUAUGGCGGCGGCGGUAUUCAAGUUCUUUUCUCCGCUCUCUCACCGAUUCAAAGUUCGGCCACCAUACUCAAAAGAUCUCUCUCACUCGCCUUCCUCUUAUCUCAAUGAGCAACAAAACGAGCAUAGAUCGGAGUAGAAGGUAGGUCGAAAAGUGGACUCCCUUGCCGGAGCAAUUCCGGUGGUUCUUCGAGUCCGAUGAAGGUGAUAAGAGAGCCAGCGAAGAUCUUCUCGAACGUUGAUGAUGAAUAUUGAGGAUUAGAGUUAUCGCCCCUGCGCUGAAUUGCAGAUGGAUGAACGAAGGUUAUUGGCGAUGCGAAGUCGAAGUGGAUGAUGAAGAUGAUUGAAGCGACCGUGAUUAUUGAAGUGGAGCAGAUUGUUGAAUUUAGUCGAAGAUUGCUGCAAAUCGAUGAAGAUGGUGAGAGCAUUCAAGAUAGGCUCGAUGAUGAACUCCGAUUGAAAAUGGCGAGGAUCAAGAUUUAGAGCAAGAGAUUUCUGUUAUGAGAUGAUGAAUUGAUGAAGAGUGGUUCUGCGAUGAUGAAGACUCCAGAAGAAGAUUGAGCAAGAGCAAAAGUUUGUUACGGAUUCGAUUUUUGGAUGAAGAGGUAUGGAGAUGAUCGAGAAUUGAGAUUCAAGAGAGAGUGAAGGUCCUCUGCAAAAGUUUGUUACCGAUUCAGUUACAGGUUUUUUCUCUGUUAGAGUUUUUUCUCUUCUUUUCCAAUUUUCUGAUUCUUUUUCCGAAUCAGUUUGGUUUAGUUUCUCCAUUCUGCAGCAAGUUCAGUUCGGUUUUUUUUGUGUAGGUUCAGUUCCGGUUUUCUCUCGGUUUUGGACGUUCAUCACCAAAUUGGAUCAGUAAUGGAGGAAGCCUUUUGUUGAAUGCACACAAAGCCUUCUUUUUGUUUAGUUUUUGCUGAAGUUUUGCAUUCAAUACCCGUAUUUGGACUUUGAGUAUUUUGUAAUGAAUGGACUUUAGAUUUUGGAUAUAAAGUCUUUUUUGUAA